rnacentral:rRNA from 1 species
UACGGAGGAUCCAAGCGUUAUCCGGAUUUAUUGGGUUUAAAGGGUGCGUAGGCGGCUUAUUAAGUCAGGGGUGAAAGACGGUGGCUCAACCAUCGCAGUGCCCUUGAUACUGAUGGGCUUGAAUACACUUGAGGUAGGCGGAAUGUGACAAGUAGCGGUGAAAUGCAUAGAUAUGUCACAGAACACCAAUUGCGAAGGCAGCUCACUAAACUGUAACUGACGCUGAGGCACGAAAGCGUGGGGAGCAAACAGG